GGGGAGGUAACUCCUUCUAAGCUAAAUAUCACCACGAGACCGAUAGCGAACAAGUACCGUGAGGGAAAGUUGAAAAGCACUCUGAAUAGAGAGUCAAAAAGUACGUGAAACUGCCUAGGGCUCAAGCCCGUUGAACUCGAUUAUCCGAGCGGAGACAUUCACCUGCGGGGCUGGCCUUCCCAUCCAAAAAAGCGAGGGCCGGCGCCGCAGGGCACUUGUCUCUCCCGCGCACGAGGACACUGCGAUCCAUUACGAAACAGCUUUCGCGUUCCACUGGGACGCGCAGGUCGCCCGACAGUUGCCCCCUGGUGCUUCCCCCGGUUGCUUGCCCCACAGUAGCGACGCUCAGUUCCGAAGGCCUGUGCCGCGAGGUGGGGCUUACUGCACGUGGUGUGCAGUCGGGCGCGUGAUGGAUUCCCACGAGUACGACGCGGUGCCUUUACACCGGCACCGCGGACCGUCGAUCGGCAGUGAAAGAAUCGAGGUACCUCCGGGACCCGUCUUGAAACACGAA
rnacentral:rRNA from 1 species